AACAAUAUCAAAGAGAAACAGAGGAGAUGAAUACCACUCAAGAGAACACUGAACACAGGCAGUCAGUCAUCCUCCGGGCGUGGGAUGCUCCGGGACAUGUUGUUUCUAACAUGAGCAACUGUCUGCCUCAAAGACAGAUGGAACCCGAGAACCAAAACAUAAGCCUUUGUCAUGGCGCUCAGAUGCAAAUUUCGGGAGGUGUGUGAGAGAGAGGGGGGAAGACUGGGGAGGAAGGUGAGGGUAACUCCACACAAAACCACAACGGAUGUAUUCUGAGGAUCAGGAUGUUUUUUUUCAAGAAUCAGAUUUUUUUUCAUGAGGAAAAAAACUUGUCCACUCAGUUACUCUGCAAAACAGAGAUAAAAAAAAAAAUAUCUGACAUAAAAUUAUUUUUAGCUAAAUCAACUCCUCAACCUGACAAAACAAUGACCAAAAACUGUUUACCUAUUUCAUCAAGUUUUGGAAGUAAGGAGCAUAAAAACAUCCAUGGCAGUUUAUUUAGCUGCUAUGGCUAACAGUUAACGGUUAGCACACAAAUUGUGUUGCCAGAUCUUGCAAGAGAAACAGGCAAGUGGGCCUAUGACAACAAGCCCAAAACAAGUGACUUCUCUGGUCAUGGUAAAAAAAAAAAAAAAAAGAUGUUACACUUUGCACCCUGAAUCCAGAAUUGUAUUGCAUUAUAUCAUUAUAUUCAUAAUUGUUUUUAUAUGUUGUGACCCUUUUUUGUUUUAGUUCCAAGUUUUCUAAACAAUGUGACACAACACAAUAGGAGGAGGAAGGCACCAAAUAUAAAAACAUAUUCAACUACAUUACAAUUAGUUGAAAAAGAAGUUCUUAAAUAUCUUUUUAAAAUAUCUGAAACAUAUGUAUUUACUUAUAAACGACUUUACAGAGAAUCAAGCCCAAAGUCGCUUAUAAAAAGCGGACCUGGCAACUAUUAGCACACAAUAAAAUUAGCUCCUUUCAUAAUUAGCUGACAUGGAGCGUCGUUUUUACCAGUUUACCUGGCAAACGAAACUCGGCAGCGAAGGUUUAUCUUGACGAAUACCAGCUGCAGAAGGUCAUUCUAAGGAACUGGCCUUCGGGGGCUUUACUGCUUUUAAGAAUCAAUGUAAUGCAGCAGCUCUGACAGAGCGAAGCAACACCCCGCUGGCCUUGAAGAAAGCAACCAGGAACGGCUGUUUGGACUGAGGCCCAUUCCUCCCAAUGAUUCCAGCAGACUUUAUGUUGAUACUUCGUCCUUUCAAAAACGGGAGAGCUGCAGGCCCAAGUUCUGCUGUGGGUUCAUCACCCAGUGGUUACUGGUGGCUGUGAUGUCAAACACUAGCCAGCCCCCAUCGGACGCCUGGACCUUUUUGGAGUCAAGCAAGAACGUCUCUGCGUCUCUAAAGGUACAUUCACCUUUGGCCCCGGAGGUCCCUGGAUGCCGGGUUGUCCAUUCAUACAUUUGCAAGAUGCUUUUCCAGCAGUUAGACCGAUCUCAGCAUACCCUCCGCACUGCCUCGGACAGAGAGGUG